AGAGUUUGAUCCUGGCUCAGGGUGAACGCUGGCGGCGCGCUUAAUGCAUGCAAGUCGAGCGAGAAGCCGGCUUCGGCCGGUAGAGAGCGGCAGACGGCUGAGUAACGCGUGAGUAACUUGCCCUCUGGUGGGGUAUACACUCGGGAAACUGAGGAUAAUCCCGCAUACGACCCGGUCCCCUUGGGGAUCAGGUGAAAGGCUUCGGUCGCCGGAGGAGAGGCUCGCGUCCUAUCAGGUAGUUGGUGGGGUAAAAGCCUACCAAGCCGAUGACGGGUAGCUGGUCUGAGAGGAUGACCAGCCAGAGGGGGACUGAGACACGGCCCCCACUCCUACGGGAGGCAGCAGCAGGGAAUCUUGGGCAAUGGGCGAAAGCCUGACCCAGCGACGUCGCGUGGAGGACGAAGGCCUUCGGGUUGUAAACUCCUUUUCCGAGGGAAGAUUUCGGACGGUACCUCGGGAAUAAGCCCCGGCUAACUACGUGCCAGCAGCCGCGGUAAUACGUAGGGGGCAAGCGUUACCCGGAAUUACUGGGCGUAAAGUGCGCGUAGGCGGUUGGAUACGUCUCUUGUGAAAGCUCCCGGCUCAACUGGGAGAGGUCAAGGGAUACUAUUCGACUAGAGGACAGCAGAGGUAAGCGGAAUUCCCGGUGUAGCGGUGGAAUGCGUAGAUAUCGGGAGGAACACCAGCGGCGAAAGCGGCUUACUGGGCUGUAGCUGACGCUGAGGCGCGAGAGCGUGGGGAGCAAACUGGAUUAGAUACCCAGGUAGUCCACGCCCUAAACGAUGGAUACUAGGUAUGGGGGGUAUUGACCCCCUCCGUGCCGUAGCUAACGCGUUAAGUAUCCCGCCUGGGGACUACGGCCGCAAGGCUAAAACUCAAAGGAAUUGACGGGGGCCCGCACAAGCGGUGGAGCGUGUGGUUUAAUUCGAUGCUAAGCGAAGAACCUUACCUGGGCUUGACAUGUUGGUAGUAGCGCGCCGAAAGGCGUCGCGAUCCCGGGGUAACUCGGGAAGCCUUCACAGGUGCUGCAUGGCUGUCGUCAGCUCGUG
rnacentral:rRNA from 1 species